AUGACUUCCCCUAAUGACCCCCAUAUAUCCUUGAACCUUGUAUAAAUCCGCGCAAGGUCACUCAAAUUAACCCAAAUGUUCAUCCUCUCUUUCUUCCAGCCAAGAAUCCCCCCGGUAUUUUCCAUUUUCCUCACCUGACUUUGAAUCCCAACCCCCGAAACCCCAGACCAAAAGAUGAAAGUGUCCAAACCUCAUGAUUUUGCUUCCUGUCGUUCAAAUCAUCAUAUGCAUCUGAAGAUUUAUGAGGAUCUCGAACUACAUCAUGAUGAUUCUUGGUCAAGAUGAUUCUUGGUUAAGAGGUCAAACGUAGUGACCUUUGGACAUAGGCUUUGACCAAUAGUCCUUUGGUCUCCAACGACCGAUUUUCUUCAAGGUAAAAGCUCCAACCUACUUUCUCCUUUGUUUUUCUUCUGUUUUCCCCCCUUUUGCUAUCAUCAGCAGUCAUUCGUCAUUCCCCACUACCUCUUUGAGUUCAAAUGGAGCCUUAAGGCAUCAAUUCUACUACAAAUAAAGUAUUAAAUACCCUCACCAAACGCACUGAAAAAAUACAGAGAAGAGCAUUGAAAGAAUACACAGACACACACUAAAAAGUCUAAGAAUUUUCUGUUGGUUCAAGUAUUCAGAAGUUCUUCUCUAAUUUCUCUUUUCUUUCUCUUAUUCAUGCUCGAGUUCGAGUACGGUAAGUUGAUUGUUGAGGUUGGGUUCUCAGACUUUUACUGAUUUUUCUUUACCUGGUUUGCUGCUCCAAAGAAGUCUAGUGAACACUGACCUCCCUCUUUCAUUCUUCAAUAUUUUAUUUGGCUCUCUUUUUAUGAUGUCUACCUAUUAAUUCUCGGUUGUUCAUAAUGUUCGUCAAUAACAUGUGACCCUUUAUUAUAUUUUGUAUUUGUGUUAUCUUUGUUUUAAAAUUAAUGAUGUUUUCCUUAUUGUUAUCUCCGUGAUGUUGUUAAAUCUGUGAUUGUUGUCGAACUUUGUUUCUCAUGACUUAGCUGGUUAAAAUGAUUCUACAUUGUUGUUACUCUUAUAGGAAAAUCCUCUUGAGCCUUAAUGUUAGUUGAACUAAAACCCAUGUUAAUAAUUACAUGUAGUCUAUCCUUGUUGAUUAAGUAAUAGACAUGUGCACACUGUCAUGUUGACUAAGUUGACUGAAUCAUAUCCUUGAACUUCUCCUGAUAUCCUAUUAAGACCUUCAUACCUGUGGCAAUGUGCUAUCUUGAUCUUUCCGCCUAUGAUAUUACGUUGUAUUGGUUUAGCUCAAUGAAUGAUUCUCAUUAAGGAUUUUGCUCAUGUUUCUCAUAUUGAUUUGUUUGCCUAAAUGACUCUAGUUGGCAGUCUUGUUCAUGAUACUAUGGUUCUGAUAGAAUGAUUCAUAUGUAAUUAUCAUAACAACUUGUAAAAAAUAAAAUCAUAUGGCGAACUUUGUUGGCAUAACUUGCUAGUAAACCUGAUCACAUGUCCAAAUGAUAAUUUUUUGUGAUUUGCUUGCCUUUACUAAUUGAAAAUGAAUGUCUUUACUUGUUAUUUCAUGACUAAUUAACAACAUUGUUUUGAUACUUCUCACUCAUGAAUCUGAGUAUUGUUUGGUUCUAGUAAUUUAAAAACCUGAUAGACCGUGCAUUGUCAUGAUUAGAUACCAUUUCCAUUAGGUUUAAAUAAAAACUAAAGCUAGCCUUCUCAUUCAUGUUGAUGUCUCUGUUGACCUAGUUAAUUGGUAUACUCUUAGGAAAUUCUGAGUGAGGUUAUUAGCUUAAGUGUUUAAUGAAGUAAGGUCCUAGUUAUGUGUAUACUUGCUUAAAAUAUUUUGGAAGACUAUUAGGAUGUCUGCAACCUAUACUAAUGGUUUGAACCUACCUAAGGGAGGUUCAUAAGUGUUAGAUUAUUAGUAAAGUUAACAAAAGUCACCUAAUGAUAUCUCAGACAACUUAAUAAGACAUCCCUGAACUUGAGAAUGUUUCAAGGUCAAUAUUGUGUUAGUGCUUAGCUGCUUAUGGUUUGGCACUCUAAUGAUGGCUUCAAUGCUUACUAUGGUUGUUUGAUUUCAAGUUGGUGUUUCUGCGUGGCUGAACCUUUGAAAGAUUUUAUGAUGAACUUUCUAUAUUAACCCUUUUCAUGUUCUAUGUUAGUUGAACUGUUGAGUUAAUAUUUGUUUGUGCUCAAAUAUUUGAGGAAGAGUGAUGGUCAAUGUUAAAUGGUAUUUGGGUAUGAGCCUGGCUUUGUGGUUGAGGCACCCCUACCUGGCACAAGCACUGCUCGGGAUCCAUGAGACCCUCGUGAACUCUGAAGUAUCACGGAUCCAUAGGGAGACUUCAUAAAUAAAUAUGGUUCACCCUAAGCCCUUAGUCAUUGACCUAAACUAAUCUUCAAAGUAUUAACACAAAUGAAAAUUGACUUUACUGUAUUCUUUAGAUCCUUUUCAUUAUUACUUAUUAUAAUUUGUCUUACUUCAUCUUUAUAUCGACACAUGAUAAUCAUCUUCUUUUUCUUUUCUAUGCAUGAUUAUUGGGCCUAUUGAGUUCAUUUGGAACUCAGGCCCAAGCUCGGAGAAACUAGGUUGCUUCCUCUCCUGUUGGAGUCUGCCACUACUUAGAGUCAAUUUGGGCCUGACUUGCUUUGCCAACCCAACAUAGAAGAGUCCAGUUUUUCUCCCUUUACCUAAAUAUAUGCUAUAGUUAUUUCGCUUUUCUGUAUAUGUCUUUGGAUAACUAACAAUAUUAUUGGAUGUUUGUAGCUACUCCGAUUGUGUAGGCAAGUCAAAUCUGAUAGAUCAAAGGGCUACUAUGAUUUCAAAGACUAAUUGUUCCAUUUCAAGCAAACUUGACAUUUUAAAACUGAACGCUUUUGAUCUUAACUGUUUGAUAACUAAUCUUUCUUUUAUCGUUUAAUGAGUUUUUUUUUGGUUUUAGGCAUCAACGGGAUCCGGAUGAGUUUAAAACCAAAACAGAAUUUGAGACAAGUCUAAACGUCUACCAGGUUUGAACUUAAUUGGUUUAAAAAACAAACAAAGUGAACCAUACCAUUUUGAAACAAAAGAGACAAGCCAUGCUAUUCAAACAAGUGAGGUAAACCAUUGUUGUUUCUGAAGAAUCAAAUACCCUUUUUAAUUAUACACGGAUUGAAACAACUUUUAAUAAAUAGACGAGGUACACUCUUUUUUCAUAUAAUAUAAAUUUUAUUCUUGUUUCUUUUACAAAACAUAAAUGAGAAGGUUUCUGAACAAACAUUGUUAUUUCAAAAGUAACUAUACUAUCAGUUCUCAAAACAAAGACGAUUUUCAAAUGAGUUUUAAAAUAUUUUCUCACUUUCUUAUAAAAUCCCAUUUAGAAAUUUUAACCAAUAAUCAACUAGAAUAUAGAUAUUUCUUUCCUCGAACCUAGACUAUGUUCAAGGAUCUACCUCAGGUAGAUUUUAGGGGAUGCCUAACAUAUUUCCCUUAGAAUAACUAGAACCCUUACCCAAAUCUCCCUGGUUAGUAGACCAUUAGGACAAUAAUUUUUAAAAACUUAUAGGUACCCUAGUAUACCUUAAAUAUUAUGUGGCGACUUUUUUUUAUCAACUUAAGAGGAACCACUAGUUUUAUUUUGUUUUGACCUAUAAAAAAUAGGGUCCAACAACAUGGCGACUCUGCUGGGGAUUACACUUAGGUUCUGACCUUAGCGAACUUAGGCUAGACUUUGAACUCAGGGAUAUUUGUUCUGUUCCGCUUUAAUUGUGUGUUAAACUUGCAAAUAUGUGUUUACUCAUUUUAUCCUACUUCUUUACACUUUACAUGACUUUAAAACGCUAAUAUGUGUUUAUCUGUAUAUUUUUGGUAAUUUUUAGUUUUUACUAACAAAGCAGAAAUUUACAGCUCAAGUUACUAAGGUUGGAUAUUCUUUCUAGUCCUUAGUUAAAUAUUAUAUACUACCUGUACUAAUAACUAACUAUAAAUCAGGGAAGUAGGUGUAGUUUGGUACUCCUCAGUAGAUCUUCUUCAUGGAUAAAAGUUUAACUCUUCAAGUCUUUUUCUGAGUCUGGGUUUCAUACAACAAUCAUCUUGACUAUCUGCCCUUGUUAUCUCUGUUGUGACCUAAAGAUCCUCUCAUUUAUGUCUUGCCAUACAUAGUAGACACAUCCUGCUAAAGUCAUUCGGUAUAUCUCGUCAUUGGCUGAUCCACCUUUGGCACGGAAAUAUACCCAAACUAGCUCCUGGCUCCAUUCCAUUGCAUGUCGUGUGACACCCAUCCAAUGUAGUAUUUUGCUCCAGAUAGAAACAACAUAUGUGCACUUGAAGAAUAUAUGCUUAAUGCUUUCCUCUUCCACGUUGCACAUAGGACAUUGUAGAUCAUUUGUUACCCCCACCUUGCUAAUCUCUCUCGAGUGCUCAACUUGCGCAGGAUAGCCAAAUAAAGGGAAAAGAUCCAUUUGGAGCUCCUCCAUUGUUACACACUAGUUUUCUCCAUGACAUCUUAUAUUGUUCUCCUCUUAGCAUCAUGUAUAACUUUUUAUUAGAAAAAUUCUCCAUCUCAAGAAUCUCAAUCAUAUUUAUGCCUGUAUCAAUUAAGCAUUGCUUAGCCUUCAAAAUCUUCUUCAUCAUCCACGAAGAUUGUCUACGUUCAAUGUCUUUUAUAUCUCUACCUCUCCCAUAGUAGAUGUGUAUCCAUUGUACCCAUAGCUUAUCCUUUUUUUGAGCUAUAUUCCAUAGUAGCUUACAUAUUGCAGCCUUAUUCCAUUUAGAUAUAUCUAACAAGUUCCAUCCACCAACAACUUUAGGUUGGCACAGUCUGUCCCAUGAUACUAAAGAUCUCUUAGAUAUAUCAACUCCCCCAGACCAAAGAAAUUUCCUACAUAUUGCUUCUAUUAUAUGUAUAGCUUUCUUUGAAAGACAAAGAUCUGUGACCAGUAGACUUGGAUAGAAAACAAGACACUCUUGAUCUGUUGAAUUUUUCCUACAUAAGAUAAAAAUUUUGCAUUCCAUGACGUUAUUAUUCCUUUCAUCCUGUCUAACAGUGGCUGAAACUGUAUAACAGACAUCCUUUUUGUACUUAGAGAAAAUCCCAAAUAUCUAAUUAGAAGCACUCCUUUGGUGAAUUCAUGUUUAACGACGGCUGCCUAUUGAAUUGCUGAGCUUACUCUACGAAAGUAGAUAAAGCUUUUGCUUUUAGCACUGACGCACUAGAGAACUCCAUGAAACAUCCAUAUAACAUUUAAAUAGAUUUUUCAUCACCUCUACAGAACAACAGUAGAUCAUCAGCAAAUCCCAACUGGACUAUUUGAAGUUAUUCCCACCUUGAAUGGUAGUUGAUGUCUGGUUGGUAUUUCAAGGUUCUGAGUUGUCUGCUUAGGUAGUACACGGCUAAUGCAAACAGGAAAGGUGACAAUGGAUCUCCUUGUCUUAGCCCCUUUUUGCUGGAAAUGGUCUAGUAGGCCUUCCAUUUAUCAUAACAAAGUAGGAGACAAUGGUAAUACACUUCAUAAUCCGUUUUACAAAGCAGAUUGGAAAUUUCAAAUUUAUCAGAAUUUGCUCCAGGAAAUACCACUCCAAAGAGUCAUAAUCUUUUUGCAUGUCUAGCUUAAUCGUGCAUCUUGGAGUUAUCCCUUUCCUGCCAUAUCCUUUCACUAAUUCAUGACUUAAAAUGAUGUUGUAUGAAAUGAUCCUCCCUGGGACAAAAGCAGCCUGACAGUUAUCAAUGAGACUAGCCAUGGCCAUUUUUAAUCUUGAGAUGAGCACUUUUGAUAUGAUCUUAUACAUCACAGUACAACAUGAAAUUGGCUUGUACUCUUUUACUGAACUUGGAAUUUUUACCUUUGGAAUUAAAGUCAUUGAAGUACAAUUGAUUGGCUUGUAAAUAUCUGUAGUGGCAAAUAAUUGUUUUGUUUCAUUGAUCACAUCUUCUCCUAUAAUAGGCCAUGCUUUCUUAAAGAAAAAAGUAUUAAAUCCAUCACACCUUGGAGCCUUGUUGUCAUUGAUGUUACUGACUGUUGUAUAUAUUUCUUCUAUAGUGACUGGCUUUAUUAGUAUCAGUUGUUGUUCUAUUGUGAACAUUGGUCCUUCUUUCAUUAUAUCUAGAUUUAUUACAGGCAUUUGUUUAGCAGCUUUACCCAAGAACUCCCUAUAGAACCUCACUACCUCCUUUUGCACCUCAUGUUCUGUUUGCAACAGUGUCCCUGCUUGAUUUACCAGCGAUUUGAUAUUAAUCUGUGAUAUUUUAUUCUUCAAGAAAGCAUAAAAGUACUCACUGUUUGAGUCCCCAAGUUUUAGCCACUUGGUCCUGGAUUUUUGUUGUAGUAUACUUUCCUCUAUCAUCCCUCAUUUAUCUAGUUGUACUCUCAAUUCCUUCUCAGUUUCAAAUAGAGGUGUCUGGUGAUAUGUGUCCCUCAUUUGUUCUUAUGUCUCUUUGAGCUUCCUCCUAAUUGAUUGUAUUUUCUCCCCGACUCUUUUGAAUUCCUGAGUAUGUAGAUUAUUCAAUUCCUUCUUAACCGCCUUAAGUUUCAGCCACACUUUUUGCAUCCCCUCCCAUUUACUAGGGGUCUUCCAUGCAUACUCCACCACCUUCAUGAACUCAGGAAUAUCAUCCACUCUAUAGAAUCGAUAUGGCUUUGGACCUCCUGAACUACAUCUUCAAAUUGAAUUCUCAGUGGUGAAUGGUCUGAGAUGAAUGGGUCCAUAACUACCACUUCCAUCUGUUUCAUUGUUGUCAUCUACUCUGCAUUCAUAAUUGCUCUGUCAAUUCUGCUCCAGACAUGGUUAUUUGUCCAUGUGAAUUUUCUCCUAAUAUACUUUAGUUCAUUCAUGUUGUUAUUCAGCAUGAAAUCCCUAAAGUAUCUUAUCUCAACCUCUUGUACUGGAUUGCCAUGGAUCCUAUCAUCCACUCCCAAUAUUGUAUUAUAGUCCCCCAUUACUACUCAUGCUCCAUCAGUUCCACUAUGAAUCACUUCUAAUUCAUUCAAUAAUGUUUUUCUAUUAUCAAUAGUAUGUAUGCCAUAUAUUGUAGUAAUAUAUAACUGUAACUUAGGGCACAAAUAGACACAAUUCCAUGUAUAAUCUGAUUGCUCUUCACCAUCUCGUUGAAUUGUAAAAUAUUUGGAUCCCAUAUUACCCAUAUCCUUCCUUUACCAUUGGCCUCAUAGUUAGUAGACUAACUCCAACCUACUGCAACCUUCUUGAUUAUUUGAUUGACAUUUUUUUCCAGUAACUCUAUGUUCUACUAUAGCCAGUAGGCUAAUUUUAUUUACCCUAAUGAAACUACAUAAGUCCUUAGGCUUAAACAGCUUAUUGAGACCCCUAAUAUUGCAAGCUACUAUUUUCAUGCCGGAUUAAAGAGAUUUUGUACUACCCCUGUGUUCCCACUUAUGCUAUAUUGGCCUCUUUCAGCAUAAUUUUCUUAUUCUGGUAUUGGUAAUUGCUCACCCUGUUUAACAGUGAAGUCAUUUAUUAUACUCAUAUGCCCAUCACCAGUAACAUGAGUUGUUUUAGCAUCUGAUUUCCCCCUAACUUCCUUCCAUCCUUCAGUUAUCUCUGAAUCUACUUGCUUCCCUGACUUAAUGCUUGCUUUCAAUUGAUCAUCCUCUUUUUCCUAUACUACUAUAAUUGUUCCUUUAGCCUGCCACACCUUUUUCUACACAUUGAUCAUCGCAAUUUUUGGCUUUUUUAUUUGUUUUGGUUCUUUACAGCAGUGCCCAAUCAUCAAACAGGUUCCACAAUAUUUUGGUUUCCAUACAUAUUCUACCCUUUGAACAAAUUGACUUCCAUUUGCCUCCCUCAAGCCUUCAGUGCCGCAAUUGCGAGGGUUUGCAUUUGCGAUCCCAUGUCGUAAUUGCAACAUCUGUAACUGAUCAAAUAGCUGGGAGAUGGGAGGCUAUGGGGGAUCGCAGAUGCGGCUUUUUGACCAAAGCGACGGUUCCAUAGAUGCUGUUAAGUGACCGCAGGUGCGGAAAUCACUGGGCAGAUGUGCAUUAAUUUCAAGACUUAGCCCAUUUUUCCACACACUUCUACUUGGUCUUGGGAGGAUUUGAGAGCACGUUUGUGGAGGAUUCUCAUCAACUUCAAGAGGUAAGUGAUCCCUAUUAAUUCUUGAGUUAAAUACACGAAUUAUGAGUAGAUUUAGCAUGAAAUUAAGGGGGGAAAUGUGGGAUUUUGUUGGAACUUAGGGUUUUGAUAAAAAUAAGAUUUGACCACAAAAUUGAUUAUGUAAUUGAGAAUAAAUUAUAUAUUUGAAUUCGUGAGGUCAUGGGUAACAUUUAUAUUCGAAAAUUUCCAAAAUUUGGGCACGUGGGUCCUGGGUGAAUUUUAGGAAUCUUCCAAAUUGGGUUGGGUAAUUACUCUAAUAGCUAAAUUAUGAACUUUUGAGCAUAUAUUUAUUAGUUUGUACGACUUUUGGUUAGUUUCGGAGUCCUUGACGUCGUUUGAGGAGUCCUAGUGAGGUUGGAGAGCUGGAAUGCAUGCUUGGAAUCGAGGUAAGUCUCUUGCCUAACCUUGUAAGAGGGAACUUAGCCCUUUAGGUGUAUUAAUUGUUGCGUGCUACUUGUUGUGAGGAGCUAUGUACGCACGAGGUGAAAAGAUUCCGUAUAUAGCUAUAUUUAUUAUAGGUCCGGGUAGACUUAGAUUCACAUCAUGCCUUUAAUUGCCAUUUUAUGCCUAUCAUAUAUAUUAAUUAUCUUGAUUAGGACUGAGAUUGAGGAUUUAAAUUAAGAUACCGACUUAGCCUCUUACGUUGUAAAAUUUGGUAAAUAUUUGAUAAUCUAUAGAUCUGUGUCUUCUCGUCUCGCAUGUGUAUCCGCGAGCGAGGUAAAUUUCUCUACUCUUAUGGGAUCAGACCAUUCGCCUCGGUAGUGAUACAAUUACUCUUAUGGGAUCGGGUUGUUCGCCUUGGCAGUGAUAUAAUUAGUCUUAUAGGAUCGGGUCAUUUGCCUCGGUAUGCUGGUAAUACUAUUCUUAUAGGAUCGGUUCAUUCACCUCGGCAGUACCACUAUUCCUAUGGGAUCGGGUCGUACGCCUCGCCAGCUUCGUGCUUAAUAAUUAGAACUGGAUUUGGUUUGGUAACACUUGAGUUAGCGCCUUUAAGGCCAGUUAUGACAUGUUUAGUGAUUUGAUAUAGACUCAUGUGUAGAAUUGCUAUAGUUACUUUUAUUUGCUUCGUUGUUACUUGUUGUACACUCACCACGUCUACUUUAUGUAAAUCUAUUAUUAUUUGACCUCUAGUAAGUGUCAAGUCGACCCCUCAUUACUAUUUCAUCGAGAUUAGACUAGAUACUUACUGGGUAUUUAUCACGCUGAUAGUUUUGUUGAGAAAGAGUAUGUACGGUUACAUGAGAUCUUACUUAUUUCAUUCUUCUAAAAAGGAAAUUUUGCUUUAAAUGUUAAAAAGGGGUAACUAAACUGUAAUUUCACUUGUGGUCUUGCCUAGCGGCGUCGUUAGGUGCCAUCACGACUUAUUAUGGGUUUUGGGUCAUGACAGUUUUGGUCUGAGGUGUACUAGCAGAUUGAUUGUGACAUGAAGAGGUUGGUUUAGAGGAUGACUCGAGUAAGGAAAGUUCUGAAUGCAUGAUGUAUUAUGGAUAUAUGGAAGUCUUGGAGUGAUUCGGGUUUGCUAUUUAUGGUGGAUAUAGCAUUAUAAAAGAAGGGAUUCACUCGGUUGCUAAAAUGUGGGGUUACUUCUUAUGUGUUUGUGCGCUAAUGGAGUACAAGUUAUUUGGCUUGUAUUGGCAGUACAUUGGGGAUUUGAGCAUAGUGGAUGACUCUCGAUAAGGUUCUAAUGAGUUCAAGAUUCGUAUGUGGUAUUUGAGGAUUUUCUGGAUUUGUAUGUGGAUAAGAUAUGAGAUUUACAUUGAAAGUUGUCGAGACUUGUGGCAUAUCCGUAUCAUUAGGGGUUCUACAUUUCAGUAUCAGAGAGGUUGAGGAAACAUCGUCAUAUUCACAUAAAGUCUCUUCAGAGUGGGUAUCUCAGAUGCGGUACUUUUGGUACUUAAGAGGGAAUAUAAUGGUUUAUGGGCUUUAGGACGACGAGGGUUCAUGGUAAGAUCUGUUGUAGUGAACUUUGGGUUAAGGAUCGUAGUGUACUGGCAAGGAAAUAUGUUAACUUGAAGGCAAUUCAUAAGGAACUCGGAGGAAUAGUAUAGCUUGGUAGUAGCUUGGAUCAGCAUAGUAAUGGAUGUUAUCGGUUCUUUUGGUUCUUAUAAUGUGGUGAGGCUUUACCGGUGUGUUGUGGAAAUACUCUUGAGUUUGGAAAUUGGUGUAACUUGGUUAAGUUAGAGGAAUUCAGUUCUGAUGGCUUGGUUAUGUGCAUAUGAGUUUCGAAGAGUUCUCGACGGUGUCGACCUCUGCUAGAGAUGGAUAUUUUUCACAAGUAUGAAGGGUAUGUUGCAUGUUGUGACUUUCUCACGAAUGGGUACAGUGGUAGGUUUCUGGAUGAUGGAUCAUGUAUCCCACUUGUGCUUCAGAGUUGUUAAUAAGAUUCUCAUACUUUUCAUAUGAUGGCAUGAUAGAUGCGGUGCGACAUGUGGGAUUGAGGUUUUCAUGUACGAGGUUUAGGUUCUGUUAGAAGAUAAGGUCAUGAGUUCGGGAUGGCAAUGGAAGUUUUUAGGUGUUUAGAAGAAUACUGGCACUAUCUUGAUAUUACCUGAAAAGAGCGUGUAUUUCAAAAAGGGUACACUAUAUUUUGACUUGCGGAUGCUUGACUGGUGUUACGGUAAUCGCCUAGUUGAUCGAAUGCUGACAUCCAGAUAUUAUGAGGGAUGUGUCAGUCAUUUGGGUGGUCGAGUUGAAAUCGAAUAUGGAGAUUCUUGUAUUUUAAGAAUUUGAAGGCUAUGAGGGUCUCAUAGACAGAUUGUUCCUUGGUUGCGGUUAGUAAAGGUAUGUUAAGAGGUUGAUAGUUGAGUGUAUGUAUUGUUGAUGGUUAUGGUGGACUUCUCGGAGGUUAUAUAUAUAUAUAUAUAUAUAUUUUGGGAGGAUCGAAAUUGAUUUGGAAGCCAUAAGUAGGCUUAUUAAGGAUACGUAUUCUACAUCGGGUCAGAUUUGUUUACUCAGCACAACUAUUGUUGAAGGGUGUGUCAUAGGUUAGAGUUGAUCUUCGUGCUUUAUAUUCUCGGGGUGUUGAUCUUCUAUUCUAUGAUGGGUUUUGAGACUGUUGACUAUUUACACACAUGAUGUGGUUCUGUUUGGGCUUUGUGGCGGAAUUCGAGCAAAAUGGCUCUUGGGGUAUUGAAUGGUUGAUUGCGCAUUGGUUAUAGUUUUCCUGUUUGCGGUAUAUUUUGUUAUUCGUUACUCCAUGGUUAUGAUCAUGCACAUUGCGUAUUUGUUGUUGAUAUGCAUAUGGUUAUUGAUUAAGAGCAUCAUGGCUUGAGGUAUUCUAUGUGGACUGGUGUUUGGAUUGGGUCACGCAUCGCAGCGGAAUUAUGUUAGCAAUAUGAUCCUUUGUGCUUAUUUCGUGUGUGUUGUUUCUCCCUUGUAUGAUGGGUUCAUAGCAUUGCGCUUGUGGUGGUAUCUGUUGAGCUUGUGGAACAGUUCUCUCAUUUGACUCUCUUUCCAUUUUUGGGUGCAUUUGAGUUGUUGCUUGUUUGGUGCACAUAUGGCAAUAGAUGGUAUUGGUGUAGCGUACCGGUCGAGUAGCUUAUACUGGAUGAGAUGACGUUAUUUGAUCUGGAAUUAUUACUAUCGUAUUUGGUUAAGGUAUGUUUCGAAGAAUAAUAUUAUAUGUCAAUUUAUAAUUUGGCAAUGGUUCUUAUCGGGCGAUAAAGCUCCAUGACUUAUUGAUUCGAUGAAUGGUUAUGAGUUACUGCAUAGUUCUUUCAGCAAUGGCAGUGUACGAAAGUUUAGAACAAGAUUUUGUUAGAUAUGAGGUUUGUUACCAGUACCAGGUUUGUUAUUGAGCAACUAUUGUGAUCAGAAGUUAUUGCUAUGAGCAUCUGAGUUAUACGGUAUAUCAUGUGAAUAUAUCCUAGGUUAUGGUUAUAGCUUGAUACAGUUUGUUUAGAUUUGUGCAGUGUCUAGAUGCGAGAAUCGGGUCUUAUAAUGAAUUCCGGAUGUUGGAGAUUGGGUUCUAAGGUUUGUGGACUAAGGUUGAAGUAAGGAUUUUCAGUUAGGUGUGUUGUCAGACUUAUAUAGAUUGUGGUGACAUGGGAUAACCCAUGGGUAUAUGUGUGGUAAGUUUACACAGUAAUUCGAUGGCUUUGUAAUGACUCUUGGCAUGUUCGAGGAUGAACAUAUGUUUAAGUAGGAAAAAAUAUAACGAUCCGACCUAUCAUUUUGAGCAUUUUUAUCCUAUUUGAUGGUUCGAGCUGUUGAGUAGCUUCACAAAUGUAUUCUGACCUUCUUGUACGGUCGAUUUUGGUUUUUGAGUGGUCCGAGAUUGAUUUGAAGAAUGACUUUUAUUUUAGAAGUUUUAAGUUGGAAGAGUUGACCAAAUUUGACUUUUGUAUAUUUGACCUCGGAUAGGAGUUUUAAUGGUUCCGCUAGGUCCGGAUGGUGAUUUUUGAUUUGGGCGUAUGCCUGGAUUUUCAUGCGAAUGUUCCUAGAAGAUUUUGGCCCAAUUUGGAAAAAGUUGACAAUUUGAAGGUUUGAAAAGUUCAUAAGUUUGACCAAGAGAUAAAUUUGAUGAUACCAUGCUCGGAUUGUUGCUCCGGAAGUUGGAAUAUGUUCAUUAUGUCAUUUGGAACUUGUGUGCAAAAUCUGAGGUGAUUCUGAGUUGUUUAGACGUGUUCAGCGUAAGCUUGAAAUUUUAAAAUUUGAAAUAGUUCAUGAAGCUUGAAUUGAGGUGCGAUUCAUCAUUUUGAUAUUAUUAUGGGUGAUUUGAGGCCUCGAGUAGGUCCGUGUUAUGUUUUGGGACUUGUUGCUAUGUUCGGAUGGGGUCCCGAGGGGCUCGGGUGAGUUUUGGGGUAGUUUUAGACGAUUUUUAGGCCCGUUUUCAGUUGCUGGUUUUUGGCUUCAGGUGUGUGAAUCACGAUCCUGGACCUUUGGGUCGCGUUCACGAAGAGCAAAUUGAUGUUUGGGCCUAGUGAAUCGCGAUCGUAGUAGCCUUUCUCGCGAUCGCAUAGAAGAAUUUAUGCUAUCACAGGGCUGACUUUGAAAGCUUAUAUCUUGCAAUCUGUAAGGAAUUUGAGGUGAUCCAAAACAAAGUUGUAGUCCUUUGUUUCUAGUUUUCAGAAAAUCAAACUGUUUGUCAUUUGGAAUUCCACACGAAGAGUUAUGACCAUUUCACUAUAGGCUAUCUGGAAAGAGUCUUAAGGUUUAAUGGAGUUGUUCAUUGCGAUCGCGGGGCUUCAUGGUCGUGAUUGCAAAGGGUAAAAUCGUACUGGGCAUCUGAACCGCGAUCGCGAGGUUGGUGACCGCGAUCGCGAAGGUGGCCUGGCAGUGGUAUUUAAUGUUCAAAUUCAGGAUUUAGAGUUUACUUUCUUCACUUUUUGAGUUUUUGGAGGAUAAGUAAGGCGAUUUUGGAGGAGUUAAAAACCCAAAACUUGAGGUUUUGAGCCGUUCGUAGGUCGAUUUGCGUGAGAUGGCAUUUCUAGAGUAUCAUUUGAAUUGCUCGAUAUUUGAUUUGGCUUGCUUGGGGUAAGUAUCUUACCUAAACUUGGUUGAUCCACUAGUUUCCUGAGUUAUUUAUGAUAGAUAUGUGAUACGGGUGCGCAUAUGUGUGGGGAUUGAGCCCAUAUGAAAGAACCGGAGUAUUUAUGCAUGCUUGGGGUAGUGCUUAGGCUAUGACAUGCCUUGAAUUGAUUGUUAAGCUUUAAGCUGUGAUGCUUCUCAUAGUUGUAACCCUGCUAUGAGCUAUUUGAUUCAUGUUUUGAGGUUACAUAGAGGCUAAUCUCCUGAUUGAACUUGGUAUUUGCUAUUUUUUGAUGAAAUUGCCGAUUUGAGCUAUGAUAGCACACUUUGAACAUGCAUACAUUGUAGCAUGUCACUUAUACCAGUCUAGGAGCAUGAAAUCUGAUAUUCAUUGAUCAUAUACAUAUGUUUUUGUAUAUUUACUUCUGUGUGAUAUGAUUUGGACUGGAUGCAUGUGACCAUGCCAAGCGAAUUCUGUUGUUAUGCCUAUGACCACACCGGACAGAUUGUGUUGUUAUGUCUGUGACCACACCAAGCGAAUUGUGUUGUUAUGAAUGUGAACACGCCGGGAAGAUUGUGUUGCUAUGCCAGGAGGAUUAUGAUAUUGAGCCUGUGACCACUCUAGGAAGAUUGUGUUGCUAUGCCUGUGACUAUGCCAGGAGGAUUAUGAUAUUGAGCUUGUGACCACGCUGGGCUGAUAGCACGUUGAAUUGUUCGUGCUGUGUGUGGAUAUGGAUCCAUCCCCCUAGGGUCACCCUAGCAUGUUUCUCUCUUGAUGGUGUACACAUAAAUUAUGAUAACCCAAUCGCUUACUGGUUGAUGCGAGCUCUGGGAGAGCUGGUUAUUGGUUUGGUUCGGUUAUUUAGAUUUAGAUAUGGGUCUGAGAGUCGUGAUGUGAAUUCUAUUUGGAUCGGGUUGCGGGCCGCAACGGAUUGAUAUUUGGUUAUUGCAUUCCAUCUUUACUUAUAAUUUUCCUUGGUUGUUACCUGAUUUAUUUGCAUAUCUUCCUUAUAUGCUGGAUUGUUAACUACAGAUUACGUUGAGAAAACCGAGAGCACCUAUGUGGUUUUAUCUGUGAUUCCAUGAUUUGAUCAUAUUUUCUAUUCUGUACUUGUUGGGAUUAUGAAUUGUACAGGUAAUAGCGAGUAUCAUUUAUAAUUCUUGAUUCUAUUACCUCAUCGGGGUUAGUUAUGAUACUUGCUGAGUACAUGAGGUUAGUUGUACUCAUACUACACUUUUGUACCUUACGUGUAGAUCUUGAAGCUGAGAUGUUGUGGAUGACGGGAGUUAGCACUAAAGACAUACAUGCAUUCCAGAUAUGGCUAUCACUUGUCCUUGGUAGCUUUAGACUUGAAUUUUAUUUAUGUACAUUCCAAACCUGUGUUGUAUUUAUUUCAUAUCAGUUUUGUAAUCUAAGUCUUAGUUGCUCAUGAAUUGUACUACCAAUCAUUGGGAUAUUGUAUGGGAAUUUAGUAACUUCACUUAUUGAUUUCAUAUUAAUUUCAGUAGUAUUGUGUUAGCUGUUAUUUGGCUUACCUAGUGGGUUGGGUUAGGUGCCAUUACGACUAGGCAGAUUUUGGGUCGUGACAGUAAUGUCGUGCAAUUAUUUUUAUAUUAUAAUGUGAGAAUGAGAGUUCAUGGCACUAAGUGUGUUUUCGUGAAGGCGAGAACGAGAGACAUGCAUUAUAUUGUGUUAUCUUUCCCUUGCGUAUACAUUCAUGCAUUUAUCCUCAGUUGUUAUUGUUGUGCCUGUGCUUUCUAUGUUGCUUGUUGUUGUCACAUCUUUGCCUUCUACCUUGUUUGUUAUUGUUUUAUCAUGCCUUCUAUCUAUUUAUUUUGUCACAUUCAUGCUUUCUUUCUUGUUGUUAUAUUUACAUCUAUGUUUUCGCCCAUUUGUCGUUGUUUUAUUUAAACCUUUUAUCUUGGUUGUUAUUGAAAUCUAUGUUCUCCUACCUUAUUUGCCAAUCUGUGCCUCCUACCUUGUCUGUUACCAUUAUCCAUAUGCUUCUACCUUAUUAGUUACUGUUAUCUGUGUACCUUCUACUUCGUUGUUACUGUUGCUGGUAUUCCUUCUACCUGGUUGGUAAUGUUAUACAUAUGCUUGGUGAGGAUGAGAUAAAUGUAUGAAGGGUGUUGUCGUACCAAUUGAUUUGACAUACAUGUAUAUAUUUGGUGAGGAUGAGGUAAAUGAUUUGAUAUCUUGCACACAUUCCUCAUAUUAUGAAGAUUCGUGGGUUUACUAUGUUGUUUUGGUGGUUAUCUCCUUAACCUCGUGACUUGAGCUGUUAGAAAAUGAUUUGUUAUGAUAUUGAGUAAACUGACUGUGACUUCUUUUAGUUAAUCAUUUACUACUUCUCAUAAUUUGUUUUUGUAAUCUACUUUGUUAUUUUUAUGUUAUUUCUAUUGCAAAUUUAACUGAACAUGUUAUAUUAGUAAGUAUCUUUUGACUUAAAAACCUCGUCACUACUUCACCGAGGUUAGUCAAGAUACUUAUUGAGUACAUGUGGUUGAUUGUACUCAUACUACACUUCCGCACCUUGUGUGCAGAUAUUUGGGGAAGAGCAACUACGGAGUUCAAGAGUCUAGCAUUGAAGAUGUAUCAGCACUCCCGAUACAAGCUACCAUUUGUUUGUUGUAGAUUCAAAAGUUAUAACUCUGUUUAUGUAAAUUUCUAACAGACGAUGUAUUUUUCCUAAAUCUAAAAUUGUACUUUUAUUCAUAGUCGCUCGUGACUUGUACUAAUAGUCCUUAGAAUAGUUGUAUUAAACUCUUUUGGCUAUUUUAUUCAUUAUCUCUAUUGGU
rnacentral:lncRNA from 1 species